rnacentral:lncRNA from 1 species
CUGAUCCCUGAUCUUCCCGAGCCCGUAGCCCGCGAGUGCCUCCUACGCUCCUCCUACCAGCAAUUUCCUCUGAUCUCCUCUGUUUCCAAACUCUGGCGGCGAGAGAUCAGUCUCCCUGAUUUUCUCCGACACCGUAAAUCUUCAGGACACAGCCAGGAGCUUGUUGUCUUGUCCCAGGCUAGGAUCAAACCUGUUUCGGAACUCGGUUCGGGAAAAACCAUCCCUACUCCCGUGUACCGGAUCUCUGUUCUUGAACCAGAGUCCGGUUUAUGGACCGAGCUGCCUCCGGUUCCCGGCAAAUCCAACGGCUUGCCUCUGUUUUGUAGAUUAGCUUCUGUCGGGACGGAUCUUGUCGUGAUCGGGGGGCUUGACCCGGCCACGUGGCGGACCUCUGAUUCUGUCUUCAUCUUCAGCUUCUUGACUUCCACGUGGCGUAACGGGACGAGCAUGCCGGGUGGACCACGCUCCUUCUUCGCCUGCGCUUCUGAUUCUGAACGGAACGUGUUCGUCGCCGGUGGACACGACGAAGACAAGAACGCGCUGACGUCAGCUCUCGUGUACGACGUGGCAGAAGACAGAUGGGCUUUACUGCCAGACAUGGGCCGUGAACGAGACGAAUGCACGGCUAUUUUCCACGCUGGCAAAUUUCAGGUCAUAGGUGGUUACACCACGGUGGAGCAAGGGCAGUUUAGUAAAACCGCCGAGUCACUCGACGUCGCGACACGGCGGUGGGGAGCAGAGACUAAAGAUUUUCUCGCUCCGGGGAUGACUACUUGGCCUCCGGUCUGUGCAGCCGGCGGAAACGGAGUGCUUUACGCUUGCUGCCGCCGUGAUCUGAUGGUGAUGAAUGGUGACACGUGGCAGAAAGUUGGGGAUUUACCUGCUGACGUGUGUAAUGUAUCAUACGUGGCGGUAAGGAGGUCUGGUAAGCUGGUCGUUAUCGGUUCGGCUCGGUACGGUGAACCAAGCGUAGGGUACAUUUGGCAUACGAGUGAUUCUCGCUGGGAGAAGCUGGAAACGUGUGAAAAAUAUGAAGGUCACGUUCAAGCUGGUUGUUUCUUGGAGAUAUAACACGAGGAUGCAAGAUUGGUCGGUUGGUUUCUUUCGGUUCAUGGAAUCAUGGUGUGACUGUACAAAUAUUCUAUAGAUAUCCAAAAAAGGUUUAUAAGCUUGAGUGUUAAUUUGUUGUUGAUUCAUUUUAUAUUUUUGUGCUUCGUUUUGUUAAUAACACAGAUGAGUGUUCAAUUUUCAAAUCCAACAAACAAUGAGACAUAACACGAGUAACACGACAACGUUGAAUCGUUGUACUUUUGUCCUUUGAAGCUUCAUCUUUUGUGGAUCAAAAGAAUAAAGUUGGGCAUCUGGGCCUAUUUGGGCCACAUUAAGUUAUUAUGCAAGUUUAUAAAUCUACCGUUAAUCAUUGUUGUGUGAUGUUACCGAAAUUAGCGGUAGAUGAAUUAUAUACUCUCUUUUCUUUUGUAACUGAGAUGAAAUACAUCCUACCACGACCUCUUUCAAUGCAGAGCGAGAAAAGUAGGGAUGUUGUCGUGGGCUCAUUUCUAAAGGGUUAGCCCGGCCCGCAUGAAAAUUUAUAACCCAAAACCCGUAUUUUUUAAUGUGGGUUAAGAAUGGGCCGCCUAAUUUUACGCUAGGGUACCAAUAGGGUUAAUUAUUUUCCAUCUCUCUUUCAGUUAUACCGUACAACUCGACAUCGAAAUCAAAAUCAAAGGUUCUGGGUUUGUUCUGAAUCGAAAUCGAAGGCGAGGGGUUUGUCCUGAAUCGAAAUCGAAGGCUAUAUGUUCUUAUGAAGACGAAAAUGAAAUCGAAGGCUAGGGGUUUGUUCUGAAUCGAAAUCGAUGGCCCAUCUCACAUGGAUCUUCUGAAAACGAAAAUGAAAUCAAAGGUAUCUCUCGAUCUUCUGGGUUAUCUUCUCUUAGACUUGUAGACUUCUAGUUGUAUUUGUUUGCUUGAUUGACUUAUGGUUCUAUCUUACGCUAAUUGAGUUCCAUUGUGAUGGGCGUACUAGAUUAAUUAACGACACUUAUACCUUAGCUAAUUAAGAUCGAUGGCAAAUGCCAAAUCCAACGGCCAUCACAUCAUUCAAAUCCAAGAUGUCCCCAAUUAGUACACAAUAUCUCCAUCAUGAAAACCCAAAACCGCACAUCGUUUCUACUAACCGAUCGGUACUCUCUCCCGAAUUUCGUUACCUUGUCCUAUCCGUUUUCUUGUUCAAAGUAAUUCACAUACGUCUAUAGAACGAUGUUUACCUAAGAGCAAAAGAAUUCAACACAAACAUGUAACUUUUCCUUUUUAAUAAAGAACGUAACACUUACGUUUCUAUAAUAAAUAUUCACAUGUUCUUCUCGGAAGUCGGAAUCAUCAAAAUAUUACUCCCUCCGUUUUACAAAGAAUGUCACUUAGACAUUUUUCACAUAUAUUAAGUAACUCAUUAAAAUGCAUUUAUGUUUUCAUUAAUAUCACAUAUCUAACCAAUAGUAUUUUAGAUAAAUCGAGUUAUUUAUAAAAUCAAUACAUUUUGCAAUUAAUUUUGAGCUUAAAAAUUGUAUAAAUUGCAUUGGUAUUGUAGAAUGAUACUCUUUGUAAAACAAGAAAAAUGAGCUAAAGUGACACUUAAUACGAAACAGAUAGAGUAUAUAAUUUACACAAAUUGGAAAUAUUUUUAGGCAGUGUAGUGAAUGUAUUCAAUUAACACAAUAAAAUAAAAGUUUCUAGUAACGAAUUUAAAUUUCACUUUCAGUUUAUAGCUUCUAGAAGACUUAUCACUAUAAAGAUUAAAGCGGCAACACUCUUCUCUCUCACAUCAUCAAUUACUUCUCAACCCUGAACUGAAUCACAAUAUCAUAUUUCUCUUCAACGUUGAAAUUUAUACGACAAUAUGGAGCUGAUCCCUGAUCUUCCCGAGCCCGUAGCCCGCGAGUGCCUCCUACGCUCCUCCUACCAGCAAUUUCCUCUGAUCUCCUCUGUUUCCAAACUCUGGCGGCGAGAGAUCAGUCUCCCUGAUUUUCUCCGACACCGUAAAUCUUCAGGACACAGCCAGGAGCUUGUUGUCUUGUCCCAGGCUAGGAUCAAACCUGUUUCGGAACUCGGUUCGGGAAAAACCAUCCCUACUCCCGUGUACCGGAUCUCUGUUCUUGAACCAGAGUCCGGUUUAUGGACCGAGCUGCCUCCGGUUCCCGGCAAAUCCAACGGCUUGCCUCUGUUUUGUAGAUUAGCUUC